rnacentral:lncRNA from 1 species
GAGAACUAAGUGGUAAAAAGACAUAAUACAUAAAAGAGGGAAUGAAAUUUAAGAAGAUGAGAAACAACCUGAGAAUAGAAGCAGCAGAGAACAAGGAUCUGUUAAUGCACAGUCGGCUUUUGAACUGGGAAGUCUGAAAGAGCAAAUCGCUUCUGAAGCAAAUACGCAUGACAGUAUUAUAGAUUUCCAGAUAAUUAGGCAUGAGAAAUGGGAUGCCUGCAAGCAUAGACCUGUGAAUCUGCUUUCCUG